rnacentral:rRNA from 1 species
UACGUAGGGGGCAAGCGUUGUCCGGAAUCAUUGGGCGUAAAGCGCGUGUAGGCGGCUUGGUAAGUCUGCUCUGAAAGCCCGGGGCUCAACCCCGGGAGGCGGGUGGAUACUGUCAAGCUCGAGUCCGGAAGAGGCGAGCGGAAUUCCUGGUGUAGCGGUGAAAUGCGCAGAUAUCGGGAGGAACACCAAUUGCGAAGGCAGCUCGCUGGGACGUUACUGACGCUGAGACGCGAAAGCGUGGGGAGCAAACAGG